rnacentral:rRNA from 1 species
GAUGAACGCUAGCGGCAGGCCUAACACAUGCAAGUCGAGGGAGAAGCCCUUUCGGGGGCAGAAACCGGCGCACGGGUGCGUAACGCGUAUGCAACCUACCUUUCACAGGGGGAUAGCCUGAAGAAAUUUGGAUUAAUACCCCAUAAUAUUAUUGGAUGGCAUCAUUUGAUAAUUAAAACUGCGGUGGUGAAAGAUGGGCAUGCGUCCUAUUAGCUAGUUGGAGUGGUAACGGCACCCCAAGGCUACGAUAGGUAGGGGUCCUGAGAGGGAGAUCCCCCACACUGGUACUGAGACAGGGACCAGACUCCUACGGGAGGCAGCAGUGAGGAAUAUUGGUCAAUGGUCGGAAGACUGAACCAGCCAUGCCGCGUGCAGGAAGAAUGCCUUAUGGGUUGUAAACUGCUUUUAUAUGGGAAGAAUAAGGCGUACGUGUACGUUGAUGACGGUACCAUAUGAAUAAGCAUCGGCUAACUCCGUG